rnacentral:rRNA from 1 species
UACGUAGGGUGCGAGCGUUGUCCGGAUUUAUUGGGCGUAAAGAGCUCGUAGGCGGUUUGUCGCGUCGGCCGUGAAAUCUCCACGCUUAACGUGGAGCGUGCGGUCGAUACGGGCAGACUUGAGUUCGGUAGGGGAGACUGGAAUUCCUGGUGUAGCGGUGAAAUGCGUAGAUAUCAGGAGGAAUACCGAUGGCGAAGGCAGGUCUCUGGGCUAUAACUGACGCUCAUGCACGAAAGCGUGGGGAGCAAACAGG